UCAGGGAGAGUCAAACACUUUGUAAAUACUGACAUACUUCAGAAAUCCUUCAACAUUCUGUGGGAUUUUCUUGUGUUAAUGCAUUAAUCUUCUUUAGAUUCUCGCAUUUAAUGCCUUAAUUAAUUUAGUAUGCAAACAUUGAUAUUAUCUAUUUUUUCUUUACCUAUAAAACCCUGAUUCUUUUUUUAUUCCUAUUUUUUCUCUUCUUGGAUUUUUCGCAUCAGAAUUUCAACGGAGAAGAAGAAAAGAAAAAAACAGGAGCUAACAUCAUGUCUAGACACUUUCCAGAAGAAACCAUAGUUCACAUCUUUUCAAGGUUACCAGUAAAGAGUAUCAAACGCUUCAAUUGUGUAUGUAUGCCAUGGCUCAAGUUAUUUUCUGACCCUAAAUUUGUUAUGUUGUGUCUUAAACAUGCUCUGAGAAACAGCAAUUUUAAAAUUCUUGCAAGUGAUCUCAAGAGGUUUUACUCUGUUGUUUUUGGUUUGCCUUUAUCCUUUUCCAUAGGAUCAUCAUCAUCUUCAUCGUUGUCAUUGUCUAUGCCCAUGUCACCAAUAUUUGAUAGUGCUACUAAGGUAAAUCUCCCUUUUGGGACUGGUAAAUAUGGAAUUAAUCUUUUGGGUACAUGCAAUGGUUUGCUUAGCUUUCUGGGUACUCAGGAUACAGUUUGUUUUUGGAAUCCAACAACAAAUGAAAUGAGUAUAAAAGAGUACCUUCAGCCUCAAUUGAGCGUCCUGAAGGUUUAGGGAUGAUCCGCUCCCUCAGAUAUGGGUUUGGUCAUGAUUCGGAGAAUGAUGUUUACAAAAUGGUAAGACUUGUGGACUUUUGUGAUUAUGGGUGUACUGUUAAGGUUCUUACUUUGGGCACAGAAGAAUGGCGGUUAAAAUCACAUGUUCCUUAUGGAUUUCAGCAUGGACAUCUAUAUGGAGUACUCGUUAAUGAAGCUGUUCACUGGUUUGCAAACCCCUUUCGAUGACGGGGUUAGAAUUGUACUGUCUUUCGAUGUUAAGAGUGAGAUGUUCAAGGAGGUGCCACAACCUCAAAACUUGAAUGAGCUGAACCAUAUCACGUUGCGUGAAUUCGGUCGGAAACUCUGUCUAAUUGAUCAUGAUUGCCACACUGUUAGUGUCACUUUCUGGAUUAUGAAUGAGUACGGGAGAAGUGAAUCUUGGACUAAGCAAAUCAUCAUUUCCCUGCAGACAGUUAUUCCAUCAUUUAAGUAUGUGAUACCGGUUCAGCGUUUCAGAAAUGGUGAGAUUAUACUAGAAAUCGACAAUGGAACUUUGAUCUUGUAUAACCCGAAGGAAGAACAUUCCAGAGUUCUAAAUAUCCGCCAAUUUAAUAAACACUUUGAAGUAACGACUUACAUAGAGAGUCUAGUUUCACCUAAGCAAAUAACUCUGGUGAAGCAAGACCAAGCAGCGAUGGUGAUUGAAACUAAAGGAGAAGCUUAAGAAGAUGGUCACAAAAUUAAUAAGAGUUGUAUCUCAGGGCAAAUGCUGGUUUGAGUUUGAGCAAGCAACGGAAAGCGAGAAGGGUGGAUGGUAGAAAGAGGGAGAGUUGCUGUAUAUAUACUGUGCCGUAUUCAUUGCUUACCUAUGACAUAUAUUGGCGAUCUGUACUAUGAAGGGCAUCAUUGUUUUCAGAAAAUCUACAUUUUCUUCCCCGAGGCAUUACCUUUUCGAUAAUCUCAACGCGGAUAUGUAUGUAUUUUACAUAAACUAGGCCGAAUCUGUAAUUUAGUCGCUACUAUCUAUACCAGCCAUUUUUCAUCCUUAACUUGAAAUGUAGUCAUCGUAAUAAAUGCUUCGUAAUUUACAUGCUACCGUAUUUAUUAUAUUACCAGAAAUCAGUUUAUUUACUUAUACGGAUUAAUCUAUCACUGUAUGCCUGUUGUUUAUCAUAAGCUACUCCUUUCAUGUGAUGAGCCAUUCCUUCAAGUUGAGGUUGUGGUAUAUCUGAAAGGGGGCUUACAUGGCUAUUCAGGUCCAGGCUUUGAUUUCAAUUUUGGAGUGUUGAAUUUUGAUUCCCAGAUGGUAAACUCAAAUUAUCAUGGCAGCUGGUUCUCUAAUAGUAAUUUGGUACGAACGAGGUCUGGUACAUGGUUCAAGAUGUCAGUGGGAACUAUGAUCUCAGACAGGUGGCAUAUGUCCAGUGAGGAAAAUCGAUCUCUAAUUACCUUUUGUAGUAAUUUUCUCAUUCAAUUCAGUGUAAUAAUAUUACUCAGUUUGUUCACCAUACCUGUGACGCUCUAGCUGUUCCUUCUUGAUUAUCGGUAUGUGUGGCAGCUAGUUGGAUGGAACUUCAUAAACUCAAGAAUGGGCUUCUGAUGAAAAGUGUUCAAGUUACAUGAUACACAAGUCAGUUGAUAGCCCCUGGAGAUCACCUGGAUCGUUGUAACCUGGCUUACAUGAAAAUUUGUUUCGAAUCGUCUCCAAGGGGCACACUUCGGCUCAAAGCGGAGGUUGUGAGUUGACUGUAAAAGGAGAAUGACUGUUACUAGACAUGUCUCGUCCUGGGCACUGGGCGGCAAUGCACUUCCAGAUCAUGUUUAACUGUUACUAGCUAAUGCAGUCUAGCUAUUAAAAUCUGGAGAUCAACAAAGAUUUUGAGGAUUGUGUUGUAUUGACUGCUGGUACUUUAGGAAGUUGGUAUCAGUUUUCUGUCAAUGAAAAGGAUUCAUAUCCAGUCCUUUCAGUUCCCAAUUGCCAGUGCCUAAGAGGUUAAAAACAUAUGUAAACUUCUCUAUUCCAGUUUUCUUCAUGGUACAAGCAAGAGACUUGUUCAGAGAUUCAGAAUCCAUAAUGAAUCCAUAAUAACACUUAUACUAUUAUGACUUCCCUAGUAUCAAAAAACAUUGUCUGAAAAUAACAAUUGGAGUCGUUAUUUGUUUAUUCUUAAAUUGUAACGACUGUAACCGACCAUUAUAAAUUUAUAGGAGAGUCAUCAUGGUCGAUAUCUAUAU